rnacentral:rRNA from 1 species
AACGAACGCUGGCGGCGUGCCUAAUACAUGCAAGUCGAACGCUUCUUUUUCCACCGGAGCUUGCUCCACCGGGAAAAGAGGAGUGGCGAACGGGUGAGUAACACGUGGGUAACCUGCCCAUCAGAAGGGGAUAACACUUGGAAACAGGUGCUAAUACCGUAUAACAAUCGAAACCGCAUGGUUUCGUUUUGAAAGGCGCUUUACGGUGCCGCUGAUGGAUGGACCAGCGGUGCAUUAGCUAGUUGGUGAGGUAACGGCUCACCAAGGCCACGAUGCAUAGCCGACCUGAGAGGGUGAUCGGCCACAUUGGGAAUGAGACACGGCCCAAACUCCUACGGGAGGCAGCAGUAGGGAAUCUUCGGCAAUGGACGAAAGUCUGACCGAGCAACGCCGCGUGAGUGAAGAAGGUUUUCGGAUCGUAAAACUCUGUUGUUAGAGAAGAACAAGGGUGAGAGUAACUGUUCACCCCUUGACGGUAUCUAACCAGAAAGCCACGGCUAACUACGUGCCAGCCGCCGCAGUAA